UUUUUCUAUUUCUGUAUCACUCUCUCUACUAAAUCAAAGAAUCUCAAUCAUCACACCACCACCACCGGAAGUAUACCGCCGGAGAUCUUGAGAAUAUUUAGCGGUUUCCGGUAACGAGCUCACCGGAAGUAUCCCACCGGAGAUCGUGAGAAGCCCAAAUCAGUUUUAGACGGAAGAUCUCAUAUUCAACGGUUGAGUUGUAACGACCGGCGAGUAUCAUAUGCCAUUAAUACAAAUACGGCGUCAAUACAUAUUCUAGCUUUCCGGUCAGAAAAGCCCUCUUUGUCGUCUUCCAAAUCCCCCAAGAUAUUUAUUCCUACACUUUUCUCUACCUUCAUCACACUUUAAAACCCUAAAUUCUUCAAAUCCUUCACAAAUCAUGUCCUCACUCUGCGAUUUCUGCAACCAGAGAUCCGUUGUACUCUACUGCAAAGCCGAUUCAGCCAAACUUUGUUCAGAUCUGCGACAACUGCGGACUGUGGGCUCACCGGAGAAGUUCCGGCGAAAAUCGGUAACCUUCAAACGUUAGAUAGACUUUUUCUACAAGUUAAUGGCUUACUGUGUUGUUAUCAAAAGAGCUUGGAGUCCUAAAAAGUUUGAAGUCUGUGGAUAUUUCUAAUAAUAUGUUUUCCGGUGAGAUACCGGAUGAGUUUAGGGAUUUGUCAUAAGAUAUACAAAGAAUACAUUGUUUUGAAAAUUAAUAGUGAAACAUGUUGGAAGUGUUACAGUUGUGGGAGAAUAAUUUUACCGGAAGAUUUGGGGUAGAAUGAGAAGUUGCAGGUUCUUAAUUUAGAGAGAGAAAUGAGAGAGAGAGAGAGAGAGAGAGAGAGAGAGAGGUGAGAUGAAGAGAGGAGAUUAUGUUUUAUUUUUUAAUUUUUUUAAAUCAGAUUUGUUUUAUCUUACAAUCUUUUUAGGAUAAUGAGUAAAAUUACAAAAGUACCCUCAUGUAUCUUACACAUGCCAUACUUAACUAAAAAAUUUAACUAGGUUAUGGGCAAAGGAUGUAGAAUGUAAUGGUUUUUUAUAAAAAAAAGGACUGACUGUAAUUAUUGAAGUUAAAGGCUAUCCAUUGCAAUACGAUACAACCAUAAAGGACGAAAUUUGUAAUUUAUCCUUUUCCUAUUUAAAAAAGGUGAGUUUGUACAAAAACGGUCCUUGUAAUUAUAAAAGUUCAUAAGUAAAAUCAAAACUUUGUUAAUCUAUAGAUUUGGGUUUCUUAUAUUUUUAAAACUUUAAGUAAACUUGUAAAACUUAAUAAAUUCUGUUUAUAGUUUUUUAGUUAGGGUACAAAUGAAAUGGAAAUAAAAUGGGUUAAAAAAAUAGAGUGAUGGAGUAUCCUAGUUGUUACAUAAAUAAAUUCAAUUUUUCGCUCUCCACUUUAAAUGUGUACACCCUAAAGAAAAUUGAGUUUGAACAAAACACACACAGCCAACAAAGCCAUAUAGAAAAAUAAACUAAUAGUGUGAUGACAAAGCAAUGACAAAAAUCAUUUAAGGCGUCUACACAAAUUAUGGUGCAACUUUAUUGACCACGGUCUAAUGACAUGUGAAGCUAAUAAAGGGAUUGUACAAAUAGUUGGUGGGUUAACGCUUGUUUGGAAAAGGCUCGCUUGAAGUUGGUCCAGUAACAGGCCGAGUUUGGCCUGCUUAAAUUAAGGCUAUCUAAUAGUUUUUUUAUUGCUCAAAUAAAAGGCUUUCAAUUUUUGGGAUACAACUUUAGACCAUUAUCUUGUCCAAACAAAACCAAUAUAUUUGAACCAAGCUGAGCUAAAGCUUAAGUUUUUAGCUCAGUUUAAACUUCAAUUCGAUCCUAAGCUGCGCUCGACUCAUAAACAACCCUAGAUUACAAGCAGUAAUAACAACAGCCAUGCCUUAGACCAUCUACAUCACUAUGCAUGGUUUAGUGGCUUAGUGCCUUUAGCCAAUGUGGCAAUGCCCUUCCAAGGGUUUGCAAUCGACUAUUUUGACCUUGGAUGAUUUCCCUUGCACAAGGGUCGCAUCCGUUAGAGCAUUCUCAUCCAGUCCAUCAAAGUGACCCUUAUUUUUAAAAUAUUAAAAAACUUUCUAAAAACUCACUCCAACCUGUCCACUAUAACUAUACCCUACCUUUAAAUAUUAAAAAAAACUACAGUAACUUUUUAUACAUAAAAAGCUACUGUACCUCUCUAUUUCCAACAACCACAUCUCAUUUCAUCUUCUCCCGCCCCUCUCCUCCUACACGUCGAUUACCGGCAACAAAUUCAACAAAACUACUGCACUUGCAAGGUUCGGAUUUGAGGGUUUCUAUUUGAAAACACUUCCGAUUUGUAAACAUUGGCAAUGAUACGGCUUCGGUUGGAAAGUAAGGUUCCGAUAUUUUGCUAUCAGUGAAAGUGUCAACCGAUUCAUCCUUCAAAUCUCCAUCUGAAUGCUUUCUGUUUUGGAUUUCGAAGGGUUGCUGAAGAACUAAACAAGCAGAGUGUGAUUAGUUGUAAAAUUGAGGAUGGUGUUGAAAGGAGGGAGGUUCUUAAAUGCUUUGGGGCUGCCAUUAGCCUGGUUGAAAUUAAUUGCACGUUUGAUCAAAUGGUUCGUACAUUCUUUCGCAAGUUGUUGAGAUACCUAUCUUCGGAUGAUGAUAGCGAUGACGAUCUUUAUGAGGAUGUCGAAGAACAAUGUACCCGCAAACGUCGUAAAUUUAUUCGACGCAAUCAUAUUCAGGGACAUGAGCGUUUAUAUCGUGAUUAUUUUGCAUAAAAUCCGGUAUAUCCCUCGAAUCUAUUUCGACGAAGAUUUCGGAUGAGUCGUCCUCUAUUUCUCUGUAUUCUAAAUGAGGUAGUGGCUAACGAGCCAUACUUCGUCCAAAGAAGAGAUAAUAUCGGAAGACUCGGUUUAUCUUCUAUGCAAAAGAUAACAGCGGCACUUAGAAUGUUGGCCUAUGGGGUUAGUGCUGAUUUUAUGGAUGAAUGCAUACGCAUCGGUGAAAACACUGCAAUAGAGAGUCUUAAAAAAUUCUGUGAGACGAUAGUAAGUAUUUUUUUCAUCUGAAUAUCUACGGUCACCAAACACAAAUGAUGUUACCCUAUUACUUGCUGUUGCGGACCAACGAGGAUUCCCCGGAAUGCUCAGAAGCAUUGACUGCAUGCAUUGGAAGUGGAAAAAUUGUCCCACAGCCUGGAAAGGUAUGUACUCUAGCCACAUUCGUGAACCUACUAUUAUUUUGGAGGCGGUUGCUUCAUAUGAUCUUUGGAUAUGGCAUGCAUUUUUUGGUAUGCCCGGUUCACAUAACGACAUUAAUAUGUUAAAGAGAUCUUCUGUUUUCACGGAACUUGCACAAGGGCGUGCUCCACCAAUCAAUUACACAGUCAAUGGCCACGACUAUACUAUGGGGUAUUACCUUGCAGAUGGUAUUUAUCCUAUGUGGCAAACUUUUGUAAAAACGAUUCCAUCACCAAGAGGGAACAAGAAUAAACAUUUUGCAAAAGUACAAGAAUCUGCAAGAAAAGAUGUCGAGCGAGCAUUUGGUGUACUUCAACAACGAUUUGCAAUCAUUCGAGGACCUUCACGAAUGUUCAAAUUGAAGUUACUAACAAAUAUAAUGAAAACAUGUGUUAUUCUUCAUAACAUGAUCAUUGAAGACGAACGUGAUGAUGGUGAUAGUCUUAACGUUGAGUAUGAUCAACUUGACGAUGAUAUCCCUGAAUUGUCGCGCACUCAAACAAAUGAGUUUAUGGACUUCAUCCGACGUCGUCUUCAUAUUAAAGAUAGCUCGGCACAUCAUCAGCUUCAAGAAGACCUAAUUGAACAUCAAUGGCAACUCUAUUCCCAAUAAUAAACGAUGUCACACUAUAUUAGAUUGUUUUGUGAAUAUUAUGAGUUUGAUUUAGAAAUAUGUUAUGUGAUGA